GGCAAUCAGCAACAGCUGCACGGAUCACAUUUGCUGUUUUGCUCUUUUUGUUCCUCCCCACUUUCUUCUGGAUUAAAAAAAACAGACUUGUCACAGAGCACCAUGAAGGCAGACCUGUCGACAGAACUCAGCUCAACAGGAGUCCAGACAUCAACAGUCCAUCGGCAGAAACAGAAGCAGCAAAGGAGCAGCAUGAGCUUCACCACUGCAGCAUCCGCCUCUCUGACGACCAGGAAGACUCUGUACUCCACCAUAAAUUAGAGGAGGAUUUUCUUUAUCUGUCCUUAAAAAUGUUUGUGAAAACAACAAAUGGAAGUCCAGCAAAUUAUGUUCUGAACCACUUAUUGUAGUGGGAAAAAAAAGUCUAAAGUUUGCCAAUAAAAUUUAUUUUUUUAGCAUUAAUUGUUAAUAAGCUCAUUUAUUUUCUGGUAUCUAUUUAACCACUAACUGCUUAGUGCUUAAACAAAUUAAAUAUAAAAAAGGAUGAGUGAAGUUACAUCUAUUUAAAAAGCAGAUAAACAAAAUACUAAAAUAUUAAAUUUUAUUAUUCUCUAACAUUUAGUUCAGCAGAAAAUUUUCAUUACUUUUUAGUGUUCAUGUUUUUUUUUCAUCUAUUUUUUAUUUAUUUAUUUUUUGUUUUUGCAAAAAAUCUUAAAUUUGUGCACGUCACAUGCUAAUCAAAAAAAAAAAGUGUCUGUUUCAACGUUUUUACCAGCAUGCAUCCACUUCUUAUCCUGAAAUGUUUCCUUCGGUAUAUAAGUUUAUCAGAAACAGCAAAACAUUUUUUAACUAAAUCAUCUUCAUGUUUAGUAUUUUUAAGUAGGUAAAAUAUAAAACUGCUUUCACUAUCAGAUGUGAUUUUCUGUAGACUGUUCUGACUCCUCUUUUUCUGCAGAAUUGAUGAAUAAAGGAUAACCAGAUACAAACAGGAUCUUUUGUCUAAAAUAGGUUUUCUCUUGCAACAGUUUAUUAGUCAUUUUUCUUCAUCUUAAUGUAACAAGAUAGUUUGAGCUACUGGGUGGAUGGAUGGGUGGAUUGAUUUUUUUUUUUUUAUGAUUAUACUUCAGUUGCCAUAGUAUGCCUUGGGGGUAAAAAGGAUUUGUUAGUCUUUCUGUGAGGUCUUGCAUACCUGUAUAAUCUGAAGCCAACAAGAGGAUUAUUGCUAAAAAAAACUACCAUCAAACCUUUUUGCACAGCAUACAUCUAUAUCCUCUCAGCAUCUCAGCACGACAUACAUCUAUGUCCAAAUUAGCCCACCUGCCAUAUGUAAGUUAGCCUACUUGAUUCCUCACCUCCACAUGUGCCUCCACUACUAAAAAUAUUUGUGAGAACACUGUUCUGUUUUAUACAGAUCUCAAAAUAAGAAAAAGGGAAUUCUGAUGUCUCAAGAAAAUGAUUUCUGUUUGCCUGGGAAAUCUCAAGAGAAAGAAAAAAAAUGUCUCCAAAUUACCAGGUAUCAACUCAUUAUCUUGACCAAAUUGCGUUUUUGGUGCUCUUAACUUGUUCUUGUUGCAUGUAUUCUACUGAUGA